rnacentral:ncRNA from 2 species
ACGGUCUUCUGCAACUGGCGCUAAGGUGGGUUACCACCGGGGAGCAGAUCUACAGACCACGACAGCCGUACGCCUGGGCACCUAUA